GUAAGGGAUAUUGGUCAAUGGGCGAAAGCCUGAACCAGCAACGCCGCGUGCAGGAUGACGGCCUUCGGGUUGUAAACUGCUUUGGAAGGGGACGAGCAAGGACGGUACCCUUCGAACAAGUCACGGCUAACUACGUGCCAGCAGCCGCGGUAAAACGUAGGUGGCAAGCGUUAUCCGGAUUUACUGGGCGUAAAGCAUGUGCAGACGGGUUGGUAAGUGGUGUAUGAAAGCGUCCGGCUUAACCGGGCAAGCGUAUGCCAGACUGCCAGUCUUGAGAGUGGGAGAGGGAUGUGGAAUUCCGGGUGUAGUGGUGAAAUGCGUAGAGAUCCGGAGGAACCCCAGAGGCGAAGGCGGCGUCCUGGCCCAUUUCUGACGUUCAGACAUGACAGCAUGGGGAGCGAACGGGAUUAGAUACCCGGGUAGUCC
rnacentral:rRNA from 1 species